GAACGAACGCUGGCGGCAUGCCUAACACAUGCAAGUCGAACGAGACCUUCGGGUCUAGUGGCGCACGGGUGCGUAACGCGUGGGAACCUGCCCUUAGGUUCGGAAUAACUCCCCGAAAGGGGUGCUAAUACCGGAUAAUGUCUUCGGACCAAAGAUUUAUCGCCUUUGGAUGGGCCCGCGUUGGAUUAGCUAGUUGGUAGGGUAAAAGCCUACCAAGGCGACGAUCCAUAGCUGGUCUGAGAGGAUGAUCAGCCACACUGGGACUGAGACACGGCCCAGACUCCUACGGGAGGCAGCAGUGGGGAAUAUUGGACAAUGGGCGAAAGCCUGAUCCAGCAAUGCCGCGUGAGUGAUGAAGGCCUUAGGGUUGUAAAGCUCUUUUACCCGGGAUGAUAAUGACAGUACCGGGAGAAUAAACUCCGGCUAACUCCGU
rnacentral:rRNA from 1 species